rnacentral:rRNA from 1 species
AUUCCAGCUCCAAUAGCGUAUAUUAAAGUUGUUGCAGUUAAAAAGCUCGUAGUUGGAUUUCUGUUCUCGAGGAUCGGUCCGCCUCACGGUGAGCACUGGUUUUUCUUGGGGACAUCCUCUCGAAGGCGGGUGGUGCACUUAAUUGUGUGCUGCUUGGAUUCGGGACCCUUACCUUGAGAAAAUUAGAGUGUUUCAGGCAGGCUAGCGCCGGGAUACAUUAGCAUGGAAUAAUGGAAUAGGACUUUUUCCCCUUCUGUUGGUCUGAGGGGUUCGAGUAAUGAUUAAUAGGGAUAGUUGGGGGCAUUAGUACUUUGCUGUCAGAGGUGAAAUUCUCGGAUUUGCAAAAGACUAACUUAUGCGAAAGCAUUUGCUAAGGAUGUUUUCAUUA